rnacentral:rRNA from 1 species
CCAUAGUCCACUACGCCUGGAACGGUGAGUGGAUCAAAGCUCAGGCGGCAUAGGAUGGGCCUGCGGCGUAUCAGGUUGUAGGGGGUGUAAAGUACCCUCUAGCCAUCUACGCGUACGGGUGUUGGGAGACAUAGCCCGGAGAUGGAUUCUGAGACACGAAUCCAGACCCUACGGGGUGCAGCAGGCGCGAAAACUUGACAAUGCGAGCAAUCGUGAUCAGGGAACUCCAAGUGGCUGGGGUAAGACCCAGUCUUUUCAUAACUCUUCAAAGGUUGUAGAAUAAGGGGUGGGUAAGGACGGUGCCAGCCGCCGCGGUAAUACCGGCGCCUCAAGUGGUAGUCGCUUUUAUUGGGCAUAAAACGUCCGUAGCCGGUUUGGUACAUUCGUGGGUAAAUCAACUCGCUCAACGAGUUGAAUUCUGCGAGGACGGCCAAACUUGGGACCGGGAGAGGUGUGGGGUACUCUCAGGGUAGGGGUAAAAUCCUGUCAUCCUGAGAGGACCACCUGUUGCGAAGGCGCCACACUAGAACGGAUCCGACGGUCAGGGACGAAGCCUAGGGGCACGAACCGGAUUAGAUACCCGGGUAGUCCUAGGUGUAAACGCUGUGGACUUGAUGUUGGAGAAGCUCCGAGCUUCUUCAGUGUCGAAGCGAAGGUGAUAAGUCCACUGCCUGGGAAGUACGGUCGCAAGGCUGAAACUUAAAGGAAUUGGCGGGGGAGCACCGCAACCUGAGGAUUGUGCGGUUUAAUUGGACUCAACGCCGGGA